CCUACGGGAGGCAGCAGUGAGGAAUAUUGGUCAAUGGGCGAGAGCCUGAACCAGCCAAGUCGCGUGAGGGAGUACUGCCCUAUGGGUUGUAAACCUCUUUUGUCGGGGAGCAAAAGCCGGACGUGUCCGGCUGUGAGAGUACCCGAAGAAAAAGCAUCGGCGAACUCCGUGCCAGCAGCCGCGGGAAUACGGAGGAUGCGGGCGUUAUCCGGAUUUAUGGGGUUUAAAGGGGGCGCAGGCGGAUUAUUAAGUCAGCGGUCAAAUCGUGGGGCUAAACCCCAUCCAGCCGUUGAAACUGGGGAUCUAGAGUGUGGGAGAGGUAUGCGGAAUGCGUGGUGUAGCGGUGAAAUGCAUAGAUAUCACGCAGAACCCCGAUGGCGAAGGCAGCAUACCGGUGCACAACUGACGCUCAGGCACGAAAGCGUGGGUAUCGAACAGGAUUAGAUACCCGAGUAGUC
rnacentral:rRNA from 1 species